rnacentral:rRNA from 1 species
GACGAACCGUGCGAACGUUGUUCGGAUUUACUGGGCGUAAAGGGCGCGUAGGCGGUCAGCACAAGUCAAUUGUGAAAUCUCCGAGCUUAACUCGGAAAGGUCAACUGAAACUGUGCGACUAGAGUGCGGAAGGGGCAACUGGAAUUCUUGGUGUAGCGGUGAAAUGCGUAGAUAUCAAGAGGAACACCUGCGGCGAAGGCGGGUUGCUGGGCCGACACUGACGCUGAAGCGCGAAAGCCAGGGGAGCGAACGGG